UACGUAGGUGGCAAGCGUUGUCCGGAAUUAUUGGGCGUAAGCGCGCGCAGGUGGUUUCUUAAGUCUGAUGUGAAAGCCCACGGCUCAACCGUGGAGGGUCAUUGGAAACUGGGGAACUUGAGUGCAGGAGAGAAGAGUGGAAUUCCACGUGUAGCGGUGAAAUGCGUAGAGAUGUGGAGAAACACCAGUAGCGAAGCGACUCUUUGGCCUGUAACUGACACUGA
rnacentral:rRNA from 1 species